CGAGGCCAGCGUGGGCCUGCAGAGGCCGCCGGCAGGAGGAGCUGGGCCUGGAGAGGCUGGCUGGAGGAAGUCUGGGGCGUGGAGACGCCGUCGGAGGGCAGGAGCCGGGCCCGGAGAGGCCACCGUGGGGCCCGGCUUCAGGACGUUUGGGGCCUCCAAAGGCCGCGGAGCGGGAGCUGGGCCGGAGCCGAGCCCAAAG